CAGCAAGAAAGGUGCUUCUCAUGCAAGGAAGAUACAGAGGAUCCUGGUGCCCAUGACUCAGACUGACAACAUUGAUGUGAAGAGGGAGUGCAUGCUGAGGAGCUGACGGUCUACCUGAAUGAAGAGCCAGACAAAGUGGAUGUUGAUCUGGACGGUCCAGCUGAAAUGUAUUGUCUUCGUGUGCGUGUGAUCGGCAGAGAGUCCUCAACGACAUUGGUAACGUACCUGUGGCCAUUGCAGUGUUUGUUUUGGUUUAUGCUCUUAAUCUCUGUUACCUUCCAGAAUGGAAGUACACUUUCAAAUUUCUGUUUCAUUCUAACCGUCUGUUUCAUCAGUUUUUGCACUGCUUUUAAAUGUACACUGUGUAAGAUUCUUAGUUGUUUAUUUCCAGAAUUCAUGCUACCCAUUCACUAAUGUUACCUUUUUCAUGAAUACUUAGCACCACCAUUAGGGUGCAUCAGUUGCCCCCUAUGAAAAGAUAUGGCCUUGGCCCUAUAGUAAAAAUGUUCUACACCCAGUAAAAACACACUGUGUAAAAUAUUUUGAAAUUUGGAUGAAGUCUACCGGGGC